AACGAGGCCGACCUGCGGCUGAGUUACCUGCGGAGGGAUCAUUACCGAGUGAGGGCCCUCCGGGUCCAACCUCCCACCCGUGUUUAACGAACCUUGUUGCUUCGGCGGGCCCGCCUCACGGCCGCCGGGGGGCACCCCGCCCCCGGGCCCGCGCCCGCCGAAGACACCUGUGAACGCUGUCUGAAGUUGCAGUCUGAGACACUAGCUCAAUCAGUUAAAACUUUUAGCAACGGAUCUCAG
rnacentral:misc_RNA from 1 species